CUUUAAUUACCAUGAACUAGGAACGAAAUAAAAGGAAGUAAAAUACAUUAAUAUUAUGUCUUAGUAAUACCGCUUUUUCCAACAAACAUCCCUCCCUUAAACCACUUUAAUAAACUAAAUAAGAAACGUAAGAGCAAGAUUUGCUCAUCAUAAUAGUUUGGGAAUUAGCGAUUCAAGUGAAUAUGUUUUCUGAUGGUUUGUCACGUUGUAUAUGAGGGUGUGGAUUGGGUUUACAGAAAAGACAACUAUGGGCAAAAAUAAUAAAGAAUACAGAACAAUGGGGUUAAAAUAUACCUAUUAAAGAAGAUAACCGUGUGUGCUAAAUGACAUUCUUAGCUCAAAAAUGUGCUCCGCAGUAAAAAAAAAAAAAACAUGCAUACGAUAACAAACAGGCCUUUUUAACAUUAAUUGGCCUUUUUAACUUUUUUUGAUUCGAACGUCACUGAUGAGACUUUUGUAGACGAAACGCGCGUCUGACGUAAAUACAAAAUUUAGUCCUGGUAUCUAUGAUGAGUUAUGAUAACAACCAUAAUGUAUCUAAGACUUAAACUAAAGCAAACUCUUAGAUUAAAUUGAUAAGUCGCCUGUCAAUAGUUGUAAUAAGCAUUUUGAGUCUUAUGUAGGUGAAAUGCUCGUUCCAAAUUGAAAUUGUAAGCCCUUUUAAUGCGCCUUUAAAAACAAAAAUCAGGUAAUUUUUAUUGUAUAAUAACAGUGCUAGGUUGUGCAUGUGAAAAAUAACACUAAAUUACAAGGAUUCGAAGGUUGUGGUAAAAAAUGUAUAUAUUUGACACUAGUGAUUUGUAAUCAUAGAUAUGUCGAAUUGUAUGGGUUUGUAUUCUAUUAUUUGUCUUUUGAAGAAUAAAAAUUAUUCGAUUUUAUCACAUGUAAUUUAAUUCCCUCAAAACCAAAGUCUGCACUUGAAAAUUGGACAUUAACGUGAAAUAGUUCUUUCCCAACCGCACACAACAUCUGCAGUGAUAAUUAGUUCAAAGAAGAGAA
rnacentral:lncRNA from 1 species